ACAACACAAUACACAUAGGGGCUCGUUGCGCAAAUAAACCAAUGAACCAAAAUGUGCGGAUCCUACCCCGGAUCAAGUCGGAUCACCGGGUCAUCCCACACGGUGACGUUUUGAAGCCAUUAAAUGAGGCUUAAACGGCACCAUUUUAUUAUCAUGAAAAACUAAAAAAUAAAACCCUAAUAAGUUGUUUUGCCAUUCUAAAACAAAUCAAUGGCCUAGCCUUUCUCCGCCGUUUCCAAUCAUGAACCCGAUCUGACUCUGAUUCAGACGGAGCAAACCAGGUUCCAAUGGCGUCUACCCUGGUGCGAGGCCAGCCUGGAGGGAACGCGCGUGGAUCUGGUGUGCGAGGAGUUGAAGGCGCGUGCAUGUGCUUGGAUGCUAGAGCUGUUGACUACUGCAGCUCUAGAAGGAUCUAGAAACCCCAAGGGUUUCUAGAAAAAUUUGGGCCGUUUGGGCCAUUAUAGCAGGAUCAAAUUGGGUUAAUUUUGGGUAGUUUAGGUUAGAAUGACUUGGGUUAUGUAUUUGGGGCAUGGGUUUAGUAUUUGGUAAUUGUAAUUCGGGUUUGGGCUGAUUGGGCUGUGAGUCUGUAAAUGGACAUUUAUUUAAUUGAAUUUUUGGUUUAAUUUUAAUAUUUGUAAAAAACUAGACUGUUAAUAGUGGAUAUUUUAAUUUAAUUUA